rnacentral:rRNA from 1 species
CGGCGAUUUCCGAAUGGGGAAACCCAGUGUGUUUCGACACACUAUCAUUAACUGAAUCCAUAGGUUAAUGAGGCGAACCGGGGGAACUGAAACAUCUAAGUACCCCGAGGAAAAGAAAUCAACCGAGAUUCCCCCAGUAGCGGCGAGCGAACGGGGAGGAGCCCAGAGCCUGAAUCAGUGUGUGUGUUAGUGGAAGCGUCUGGAAAGGCGCGCGAUACAGGGUGACAGCCCCGUACACAAAAAUGCACAUGCUGUGAGCUCGAUGAGUAGGGCGGGACACGUGGUAUCCUGUCUGAAUAUGGGGGGACCAUCCUCCAAGGCUAAAUACUCCUGACUGACCGAUAGUGAACCAGUACCGUGAGGGAAAGGCGAAAAGAACCCCGGCGAGGGGAGUGAAAAAGAACCUGAAACCGUGUACGUACAAGCAGUGGGAGCACGCUUAGGCGUGUGACUGCGUACCUUUUGUAUAAUGGGUCAGCGACUUAUAUUCUGUAGCAAGGUUAACCGAAUAGGGGAGCCGAAGGGAAACCGAGUCUUAACUGGGCGUUAAGUUGCAGGGUAUAGACCCGAAACCCGGUGAUCUAGCCAUGGGCAGGUUGAAGGUUGGGUAACACUAACUGGAGGACCGAACCGACUAAUGUUGAAAAAUUAGCGGAUGACUUGUGGCUGGGGGUGAAAGGCCAAUCAAACCGGGAGAUAGCUGGUUCUCCCCGAAAGCU